UUCAGGAUGAAACUGUUUCACCUCAGAUCACCAGGCAUUAGAUUCUCAUAAGGAGCCCACAACCUAGAUCCCUCACGUAUGCAAUUCACAAUAGGGUUUGUGCUCCUGUGAGAAUCCAAUGUGGCCACUGAUAUGAAGGAGGUGGAGCUCAGGCAGUAAUGCGUGCUCACCUGCCACUCACCUCCUGCUGUGGAGCCUGGUUCCUAAAAGGCCAGGGACUGGUAUGGGUCUGUGGCCAGCAGCGUUGGGGACCCCUGGUUUAAGUCAGCCAGUCUGUGAUGUUUUAUUAUGCCAGUCAGAGCAGGCUAAUACAGUAAGUUAUUUAACCUCUGUGUCUCAAUUCCCUCCUCUGUAAAAUAAUAACAGUUUCCCUCAGAGGUUUGUAAGGCUUCAGUGGAUUAAUACAUGCAAAACACCGAAAACAUCACUUGGCAAAUUGCAAAUGCUAUGAAAGUGUUAGCUACUUUUGUUGGUCAUGCCGAAUCCCUGGUUCCUAAUGCAAUGUCUUGAAUGUGGUAGGCAGUCACACACAUUGUCUGGAUGGACAAUGCCUGACGUCAGAGCGGGUACAAGCUGCUCAGGGAGCACCGCAUGCGUCAGAGCAGCUGUGCCCGUUGGCUGCACGCUCUGAGGACUACAGACCGAGGUUCACUCCGUGGGUGAAAUUGCAGAGACGGUGAACAGGAGCUGCCUUCGGGCGCCCUUCCCUGGUGAAAGACAACAGGACACAGAACAUCACAUCCUUGUGGCACAUCCAGAGCUGAAAGGAAGUUCAGAACGAGCUGAGCGAACCAACCCUUCCCAUGCCUCGUUGGGCACUGGCACAUUUUCUUAGUAGAGAAACUGAGGACCUGGACACCUGUCUAAGGCCAUCUAUUCUUCAAGGACAGGACUGUGGCUAGAACCCACAUCUUUGACCCCAGACCUGGUGAGAGCUGGGAGGAAAGAAGAUGGCAGGAGUCUAUACAUUACCUAAUUUUUUCAACAUAGUCAAUAAUGGAUUCUUUCAGGCAAGAAAAGACCACUCUUUGAUGCUGGCCAAAGAUGAUUCUGACAUGCAGUAACUACGGACAGUCCAAACCUCUCCGAUGUUAAAGGACAGCUGUCUCCCCCACCCCGUCUCUAACUUCAGACAGGUAUGCUAGCUGCCUUGGGCACUGACUGGUAUAAGGCAGCACCUACCACAGUGCCAGGUAAGGAGAAGAAUCACAUAAAGGUAGUUACAAUGAUUAAUCACAUAAUUAUAGCAAGUGCACGAUAAAAGGUUGCUGAAUGAAUGCAUGAAAGAGAAUUCAAAAGGACUUGCUCACCUCUUCUCAGCCUCACAGCUGCUGGGAGGUAAGUCAUGCCCCAUCUUCAACAGAGCAUAACACACAAACGAGGGUCUCAGGCGUCUGCUUGCUAUGGGAUAGAACAGCCAUUGGGCCUACCCUUGGCAAUGGAAAAAGCUUCCAUUGUAUUUCUAUGGGAAGCAAGCAUGUCCACCCAAGGAGGCAGCGGGCGAUUUAUGGCCCUGAGGUUUCAGGUCGGGUAGGAAGGGAUUCUGGCUGAGGCCAAGGUUUAUUUUGGUCUUAAAAAUUUCUUUUCCUAAUCCUUACUCACUGCAGGCAGCUUGGAAGGAAAAUGAGAAAGUUACAAAAGAAUGAAGUCUACAUCACAAUAGACCCUAACACCCAAAGGAAAUACUGUUAAUAUUUUGACAUUUGUCCUAGAAAUGUUCUUUCAUGAAUGUGUGUAUAUACCAAGAAUUGUAUCAUAUAAUACUUAUAUUAAAAACCUACUGUUUUUCUUUAACAAUAGCUCGUCUCCUUCACCUCCUCCUCCUCCUCCCCCUCUUGCUCCUUCUUGCCCCUUC